AUAACUAAUAUUAAAUUUUUUUAAGAGGUUUCCAUUAAAUCAUAAUAAAUGUACGGGGAGAGGGUAAAUCAAAUGGCCACGAAACGCGGGGAAGCAGAACCCGAACACGUUUGAUUCUCUUAAUCUUGGAAAGGGAUCCAUUUAAACGUAUUAAAUGAACAAGGAGACUGAAAAUAAGAAGGAUUCAAAACCUGGAGAAGUGGAGUCCGUUUGAUUUUCUCUCCCCUUGGGCGUGAAGGUGCAAUUUCCAGAAAAUAUAUGCAAUCCGAAUUACACUGAUGCAUAAAAGGAAGAUUGCGGUGCGAUGUGUGGCUUAUUUCACUUAUUUCCUUUCAUCAGCGUCUACUAUUAAGAGGCACUUCUCUUUUGUCAGAACUUGGGAAUAAAACUUGAGCACCGUAUAGUGAUCCUCAAGAUCGUCGGACAAAUGGGAGAGAAAUAAAGUUCAGGUUGAUGGUACUGAAACAAUAUCUACAGUGUUUGGUGGACUACAUUCUUGAUUUGCUGUUUUCGUCUUCACCUUGCAACAUUAUGCAGUUAAUUUUCAAGUGAUGAGUGAGAGCAACUGAAGAUUUAUGACAAUUCCACUGAAAUAAGAAAUUUUCGGCAUUGGCAUUCCUCUUUGAUUUGAUUUACAUUUCACACCUGCAUACUUUGGAACAUUACGGUCUACAGUUAAUUAAGGUCGACGUUGGAGAAGACAAAGAUGACCCCAUAGUUAAAAUAGUUCUCUAUCUUGCAUGCACUGUGUAGUAGAAUUUAUCAAGUUCAUUUGAUUCAAAUUAGUUUUUUUACAGUUUAUUUUAUUUAAAUUAGUUUUUUUAUUUUGCAUGCUUAAUUUUGUUCAUUUA